rnacentral:rRNA from 1 species
AGCGGACAGAAGGGAGCUUGCUCCCGGAUGUUAGCGGCGGACGGGUGAGUAACACGUGGGUAACCUGCCUGUAAGACUGGGAUAACUCCGGGAAACCGGAGCUAAUACCGGAUAGUUCCUUGAACCGCAUGGUUCAAGGAUGAAAGACGGUUUCGGCUGUCACUUACAGAUGGACCCGCGGCGCAUUAGCUAGUUGGUGAGGUAACGGCUCACCAAGGCGACGAUGCGUAGCCGACCUGAGAGGGUGAUCGGCCACACUGGGACUGAGACACGGCCCAGACUCCUACGGGAGGCAGCAGUAGGGAAUCUUCCGCAAUGGACGAAAGUCUGACGGAGCAACGCCGCGUGAGUGAUGAAGGUUUUCGGAUCGUAAAGCUCUGUUGUUAGGGAAGAACAAGUGCAAGAGUAACUGCUUGCACCUUGACGGUACCUAACCAGAAAGCCACGGCUAACUACGUGCCAGCAGCCGCGGUAAUACGUAGGUGGCAAGCGUUGUCCGGAAUUAUUGGGCGUAAAGGGCUCGCAGGCGGUUUCUUAAGUCUGAUGUGAAAGCCCCCGGCUCAACCGGGGAGGGUCAUUGGAAACUGGGAAACUUGAGUGCAGAAGAGGAGAGUGGAAUUCCACGUGUAGCGGUGAAAUGCGUAGAGAUGUGGAGGAACACCAGUGGCGAAGGCGACUCUCUGGUCUGUAACUGACGCUGA